rnacentral:lncRNA from 1 species
CUUCUCUAAGAAUUUAGAACUGGGAAUGGAGGAGAGAAAGAGAGAGAUACUGAUUCUACCAGAGACAAUGGGAUGAGAUAGCAUGGUUGUUGGAACCAUGGCUGGAACUGUAAAGCACAAAUUGGACAGCAGAUAAAGUUGGUUCACAGAGAGAGAGAGAAUGAUGAAGCCAUAGGGAUCCAAGUUUCCCUAUGGCUUUCCUCACCCUAACUCCUGUCCUUCCACAGGUCAGGCUGCAUUUGUAUCCUGGGUCCACAAGACAUCGUUUCCUUAAAACCAAUCCCCCUGAUUUUGCUAAGUGUCUGCAAGCCUAAUAUUUCAUGGAUGUUUGACAAGGACCCCGUCUUUAGCUGAACUAAGGAGAAAGUCCUGCAACACACACAUGGAGCUCAGCAAACGGAGGAUGUAG